GGAUGGGUAGCCCGUAACUGGUAGCGGUGCGGUCUGUAAAACCGUUGGCUUCGGCCCCUGUAAGUUCAAGUCUUACCCCAUCCA
rnacentral:tRNA from 1 species